UACGUAGGCAGCAAGCGUUGUUCGGAGUUACUGGGCGUAAAGGGUGUGUAGGCGGUUCUCUAAGGCUGGUGUGAAAUCUCCCGGCUCAACUGGGAGGGUGCGCCGGAAACUGGAGAGCUAGAGUACUGGAUGGGAGAGUGGAAUUCCUGGUGUAGCGGUGAAAUGCGUAGAUAUCAGGAGGAACACCUGUGGUGUAGACGGCUCUCUGGACAGUAACUGACGCUGAGACACGAAAGCGUGGGUAGCAAACAGG
rnacentral:rRNA from 1 species